CAGAAGCCGGACGUAUCAGGAAGACUGAUGAAAUGGGCAAUCGAGCUUGGAGAAUUUGACAUAGAAUUCAAACCACGCCCAUCUAUCAAAGCCCAAGCUCUAGCCGACUUCAUUGCAGAACUAACCCCUAGGCCUCGGGGGCCAGGUGAGAGCUCGAGCAUGAGCACUAAUUUGGACACUUGGCAAAUAUUUGUGGAUGGAGCAUCGAACUCCUCGGGCUCGGGCGCAGGGGUCAUCAUCAUCAGCCCUGACAAACAAACAGAGAUCCAAUGCGCUCUCAGAUUCGAGUUUGAAGCAACCAACAACGAGGCCGAGUAUGAGGCCGUCGUUAUUGCUCUU
rnacentral:lncRNA from 1 species